rnacentral:misc_RNA from 1 species
GAUGAAGAACGCAGCGAAAUGCGAUAACUAAUGUGAAUUGCAGAAUUCAGUGAAUCAUCGAGUCUUUGAACGCACAUUGCGCCCCCUGGUAUUCCGGGGGGCAUGCCUGUCCGAGCGUCAUUGCUGCCCUCAAGCACGGCUUGUGUGUUGGGCUCCGUCCCCCCGGGGACGGGCCCGAAAGGCAGCGGCGGCACCGAGUCCGGUCCUCGAGCGUAUGGGGCUUUGUCACCCGCUCUGUAGGCCCGGCCGGCGCCAGCCGACAACCCAUCAUCCUUUUCAGGUUGACCUCGGAUCAGGUAGGGACACCCGCUGAACUUAAGCAUAUCAAUAAGCGGAGGA